GCCUGGGUGGCUCAGUUGGUUAAGCAUCUGACUUCAGCUCAGGUCAUGAUCUCACACUCCGUGAGUUCGAGCCCCACGUCGGGCU
rnacentral:tRNA from 1 species